rnacentral:rRNA from 1 species
AGCGGCGGACGGCUGAGUAACGCGUGGGAACAUGCCCCAAAGUGAGGAAUAACUGCCCGAAAGGGUAGCUAAUGCCGCAUAUGAUCUUAGGAUUAAAGGAUUUAUCCGCUUUGGGAGUGGCCCGCGUACGAUUAGGUAGUUGGUGAGGUAAAGGCUCACCAAGCCCACGAUCGUUAACUGGUCUGAGAGGAUGAUCAGUCAGACUGGAACUGAGACACGGUCCAGACUCCUACGGGAGGCAGCAGUGAGGAAUCUUCCACAAUGGGCGAAAGCCUGAUGGAGCGACGCCGCGUGCAGGAUGAAGGCCUUCGGGUUGUAAACUGCUUUUAUAAGUGAAGAAUAUGACGGUAACUUAUGAAUAAGCACCGGCUAACUACGUGCCAGCAGCCGCGGUCAUACGUAGGGUGCAAGCAUUAUCCGGAGUGACUGGGCGUAAAGAGUGCGUAGGUGGUUUGUUAAGCGAAUAGUGAAAUCUGGCGGCUCAACCGUCAGACUAUUAUUCGAACUGGCAAACUCGAGAAUGGUAGAGGUAACUGGAAUUUCUUGUGUAGGAGUGAAAUCCGUAGAUAUAAGAAGGAACACCAAUGGCGUACGCAGGUUACUGGACCAUUUCUGACACUGAGGCACGAAAGCGUGGGGAGCGACAGAUUAGAUACCCGGUAGUCCACGUCGU